GGAUCGCUAAUCGAAUAUAUAAUCGCGUGUUAUUGUUCCUGCAUAUAUGGCCCGACAUUUUGGCUUUUGCCCGCAAUUUGCAUGGUACAAAAUAGUACGCAUAUGUAAAUACGGCGGACAAAAGGCAGAAUGAGUCGGAGCAGAAUUCUAUAUGUAAAUUAUCACGCAAAUUAAAGCUCAUUACUGUAGGUCACAGAAAUACAGUUAUAGUGCCUUGUCUCAAUAAAGGACGUUAUGAAGCAAUAACGUAUUUCAUUAAAAAACACCAACUCUCAUAAUGUACGAAAUGCCAUUUCAGACCCCCGGCCACGGACUUUUACACAGGUGUCAUCCACAUCCCCAAUCUCACUCUUAACUUCUCUGCAAAGUUGAGAGGUCUGCACUAUAUCUUCACAUGAUACUAUACUUAAUUGGGGUAAUUUACGCAUUAAUUAACAUUCCCCUUUUUGAAUACAUCGUGAACAGUUUCUACCAUUAUUCUGCUCGACGUUUCAUAUAAGAGUCCCCACAUGCCCUGGCCUACCCACACCCCCAGUACGACCCUACCCCAACCUCGCGUUUUUAUGACGUCAUUUGAAAACUCUUGUAUGAAAAUAAACUUCACCCUUUAUUAGCUCUCCUUAAAUAAUUCCAGGUGAAGUUGAUAUAAAGGUCCUCAAAUGACAUCACAAUAGAGGUGGGGUGGGUGUAGGGUAGGGCUCAGGAUAGAGUUGGGGUCAUUUGGAGACUAUUCCAUAUAUGACUCUUCUAUUAAAUUUCAGCCAAGCCCUGGUUGAAACACUAAUUGAAAC